rnacentral:rRNA from 1 species
GACGAACGCUGGCGGCGUGCUUAACACAUGCAAGUCGAACGCUGAAGGCCUGGCUUUUGUUGGGUUGGAUGAGUGGCGAACGGGUGAGUAACACGUGAGUAACCUGCCCUCUUCUUUGGGAUAACGCCCGGAAACGGGUGCUAAUACUGGAUAUUCACUGAUCUUCGCAUGGGGGUUGGUGGAAAGGUUUGUUCUGGUGGGGGAUGGGCUCGCGGCCUAUCAGCUUGUUGGUGGGGUGAUGGCCUACCAAGGCUUUGACGGGUAGCCGGCCUGAGAGGGUGACCGGUCACAUUGGGACUGAGAUACGGCCCAGACUCCUACGGGAGGCAGCAGUGGGGAAUAUUGCACAAUGGGCGAAAGCCUGAUGCAGCGACGCCGCGUGAGGGAUGGAGGCCUUCGGGUUGUAAACCUCUUUCGCUCGUGGUCAAGCCGCAACUGUGGGUUGUGGUGAGGGUAGUGGGUAAAGAAGCGCCGGCUAACUACGUG